rnacentral:rRNA from 1 species
CGUGAGCAACCUGCCUUUAUUCAGGGGGAUAACGCAUCGAAAGAUGUGCUAAUACCGCGUAAGACCACAGCUUCACAUGGAGCGGGGGUCAAAGGAGCAAUCCGGAUAAAGAUGGGCUCGCGUCCGAUUAGCUAGUUGGUGAGAUAACAGCCCACCAAGGCGACGAUCGGUAGCCGACCUGAGAGGGUGAUCGGCCACAUUGGAACUGAGAGACGGUCCAG